rnacentral:rRNA from 1 species
GAUAGGGCCGCGGCGCAUAGCUAGCUUGGCUGAGGUAACGGCUCACCAAGGCGACGAUGCGUAGCCGACCUGAGAGGGUGAUCGGCCACACUGGGACUGAGACACGGCCCAGACUCCUACGGGAGGCAGCAGUAGGGAAUCUUCCACAAUGGGCGAAAGCCUGAUGGAGCAACGCCGCGUGAGUGAAGAAGGAUUUCGGUUCGUAAAACUCUGUUGUAAGGGAAGAACAAGUACAGUAGUAACUGGCUGUACCUUGACGGUACCUUAUUAGAAAGCCACGGCUAACUACGUGCCAGCAGCCGCG